rnacentral:sRNA from 1 species
CCUCUAUUCACCCGGCUCGAAAGCGGCGGGUGUUCCUCGGAUUAGACGGUGAGUGCCGAGGCGCCAACAAAAACCCCGUCAGCC